rnacentral:rRNA from 2 species
UAGGGAAUCUUCGGCAAUGGACGAGAGUCUGACCGAGCAACGCCGCGUGAGUGAAGAAGGUUUUCGGAUCGUAAAACUCUGUUGUUAGAGAAGAACAAGGACGUUAGUAACUGAACGUCCCCUGACGGUAUCUAACCAGAAAGCCACGGCUAACUACGUGCCAGCAGCCGCGGUAAUACGUAGGUGGCAAGCGUUGUCCGGAUUUAUUGGGCGUAAAGCGAGCGCAGGCGGUUUCUUAAGUCUGAUGUGAAAGCCCCCGGCUCAACCGGGGAGGGUCAUUGGAAACUGGGAGACUUGAGUGCAGAAGAGGAGAGUGGAAUUCCAUGUGUAGCGGUGAAAUGCGUAGAUAUAUGGAGGAACACCAGUGGCGAAGGCGGCUCUCUGGUCUGUAACUGACGCUGAGGCUCGAAAGCGUGGGGAGCAAACAGG